UCCUAAUUUUGGGUGGCUACACCCGUUCAGAUAUAUAUCAUUAAAAGAGAAAUCGCCAUAUAUUUUCUCCGCUCUGCGCCGUUCGCGCAAACAGUUGGUUGCUGAAGAACUCAGUGCGUCGUUCCCUUGUCUCAUUUUUUCUGUUCUUCUAUAAGAUGUGGUGCCUGAAGAUUCAUAUCUGAGCCUGACUGAAUGUCUGAACCACUAAGGGCUACAGUAUUCGAUGCUAGCAUGCUAUGGAAUGGACAAGCGUUUGCACUCCUAUGAAGUUGUUAGAUGGUACUGUAUACUAUGCUAUGUAAAUUGUGACUUACCAUAUAUCCUUGGGUGAAGCGAUCAAGAAAUUUUCUUUACAGGCUUCCAUGUGUUCUGACAUUCUAGACUUGUUUCAGGAGAAACAGACAAGUAUUUUCCCCUAGCUAUUUAUAGCCCGAAUUCAUCUAUUUGGCUAUUGAGAUUCACAUCUAAUCAAUGUCAAGUAUUGUCUCUGUCCCAAAAAGCUUGUCUUAGAUUUGUUGAUACGGAUGUAUUUAACACUAAAACGCUUCUAGAUACAUCCGUAUCUAGACAAAUCUAAGACAAAUUUUUUGGGACGGAGAGGGUAUAUUUUACAUCAUAGUGAUUUGGUGUAUGCAAUAAUCAUAUUAUGUUAGCAAUGGAACAUAGUUCGUCACAAUUUCUUUCCUUCAGGUUCAGAAUUACGAGCAUAACCUCAGUAUCUAGAUGCAGAUGUUCCUCUGAAUUAUCCAGCAGUGCUCCUUGUUCCUUAAGAUGUUAUUACAACAGAUAUACUCGCAUAUUGGUUGUAAUAGCAUCUUAUAUUAUGGGACAGAGGGAGUAAUAUUGAACAUUUGAGCAAGAAGAUGUCAUCGCUGCAUAUGCAGUUUCCAACACUUCUAUAGUUCUAUUGUUCUUAAUCAACAAGGUCAGGAUAUAACAAAUUGCAAUAAGUGAUUAUUUCAGAAGCUCGGAAUAUAAAGGAUCUUAUUUGUAUUGCAUACAGUGGGACCGAGUAUCUCCUCUGGUAUGGCUAGCUGAGUAUGUGUGCUCAUGGGCCACCUUCCUGUGUUCAAGGCACAGCGUUCUCAGGGUGCCUGCUCAGGUUCUUCUUCAUCUUCAAGAAAUGCCACCAGGAGAGAUAGUCCCUGGCUGGUCUAGCAUUGCAUAAACCUAAUGAAAUUCAAAACAAAGCGAAUCAUUAGUCGGUUGGAGUAAAUUCUUACAGAUGACAUAUUAUGUUUACUCUUUGAGAGCCCAAGUCAUAUUAUUUUACCCUAUAUCAAUGCUGAGCUUAGAACUUCAACUUUGCCUUAUGCUGCUUGAUGUUUGCUAAAUGCUAAUGGGUCACAGCAUGCAUAUUUUCAUCAUUGGUUGCUUCACUUUUUUAACUGUUGAUGAAUUUGUGCAUGACUCUACCCCUUUGUAGUUUUGGUCUUGCCAAUAAAGGAUUUCUUGGGUUUGUUUUCUUUUGAAAUUGAACAAUACACAGCUGCGUUGCAUGCAGCAUGCUUGCUGAAAAUAUAUUCUUGUAACAGUUAAACCCCCUGCUCUAAAAAGUUGUUUGCAUAGUUGAUAUGUCUGAAAAUUUCUAAAUGAUCACUUGAUCAUGGUUUUUAUGUUAAUAGUUUAUCUUGGUAAUAUUAUUUGGAUGUAGUUCAAAAACGUAAAUAGCCCAAUGGUUUGGCGUAACUGCAAAUUGGCCAGCCUUUUCCAGGGCACGGGGUCAAAGGUGGAGCCUCUCUAUUCAACUACUGAGAUGGAAAGGAUUCAUGAACCAUGAUGCGAGAAUCAUCUUACGGCUGAUUCUUAACCUUUCUUUUCCUGCUACCGUAUAUUACAGGUCUGUUGUUUGCUUGUCCUAUCAAGGUAAUUUAAUAAGGUCUAUAUACUUGACCAUUGGCACAAUGCAUCCUUUAUUCACUUGGUCAAAGGUUGAUUUGAAAGAAAAAAAAGCCUAAGGCAGCUGAACAGUGAUCUAUGAGCACACUGCUACUUUCUGUGAUUAAUUUAAUAUUUGAGCUAGUUGCUAGCUCUGAUCGUACAUGCUUUCCAUCUCCCUUACCCACUUUUCUGUCUAGUUUCCCCCAUAAAAUACCAUCCAGUGACUGGGCUGCAAAUAUAUCUGUAAGACGUAUCUAGUUUCUUUGUGAAGGUGAUAUGAUGACAGGGAGUUUGUAUCUACAACUAAAAUUCGAAUUAGUCAAGCAAAUUUACUGAAGCAAAGUUACACCAGCACAUAACUACUCCCUCGGUUCACAAAUAUAAGAUGUUCUAACUUUUUUGUGAAUUAGAUGUAUAUAGACAUGUUUUAGUGUAUUUGUUCACUCAUUCCAGUCCGUAUGUAGUCCAUAUUGAAAUAUCGAAAACAUCCUAUAUUAGUGAAAUAUCGAAAACAUAGGAGCAUGGCAUCGUGUGUUGUUAGUCACAUCAGUACGAGGGAAAUGAUGUCUCUAACACUCAAGCUCUUCUGUGGUUGGGUAGUUAAGAAGAAAAGGCAAAAGCUUCCGUUGUCUAAUCUCAUGUGACAUGUGCAGGCAUUCCAAAAUAAUCCAGUAUCAUGGUAUUUCCAGUAUGAGGUUUGCAUUGCUGCCUGAGACUGAGUUCUCAAAGGGUGAAGGCUGCCUAGGACAAGAAUGCACAUGCUUCUUCUUGUUGUUCCAUGUGAACUCUGCACUUGUUCUGAAGAAAGGUGAUGUGAUUGCUUUGUGAAUGACCUAAGCCUAAUCUGCAAAAAGGGAGUUGGCAGGAAUCUUCCCUUGGAUGAUUAUCUUUGUCAGCUCAGAAUGUCCCUGCAGGAUGUUAUUUCUCUUGGUGUUAUGUUCUCCUGCCUCAGGAUCUGAGCUUGGGAUGGAAAGCACAAAAUUAAUAGGCUUCACAUGUCCCUGCAGUUAGCACUCCUGAGUUGCUGACUGUACAGAUGAAUCUUUGUACCCUUUGCUUGUCAAAUGUUUUAAAGCCCUGCUUUUUGAAGUAGAUGCAGCACCUAAGAAAGGUGAAGGCGUGAUGACCUUGGACCCCACUCAAACAGGGACCAUUCAUAGCCUACAUGUAAUAGCAUUUUUGGGCUGCACGGCAAUGUCUGAAUGCUUCUGGUACGUUUAGGUAUUCAACCAAGUAGACUGACUGUCAUCACUUGUUUAAGCCAUCUUUGGUUUCAGGACAUCCUAUACCGUUAUCCUUCCAUACCGAGACACUAACCCGUAAGGGGAUGGGGUAGAGCAACAGGUGCCUGGUGGGCAGAGAAUGAGCAAAGGAAAUCAACACCCUGCCUUGUUAGAUAUCUAGGCUGGCAUGCAACGCUGAUGAUAUCCUUUCGAUCGCAGUCGCAGGGGCCUACUCCUUUGGGAUUCUUAAGAUUCAAGUAUCCUUAACUGGUCACCCCAAUUAUUUGAAACCAAGAAAAGGAGAGGAAAAGAGCACACAACACACACCCAGAGAACGAGGUAGGGCAGAAAGGUUAGCAUGCACUUUGUCCGUCGGAAACGAUGUAUCACUAGGCCAAGGACGCCGGGGAAGGAAGUUGUCUAUAAAUAUGCGGUGCGAUGGAUAGGGGUUGGUUUGUGCUGGAACUGGAAGCAAGGUAGCUGGGAGCAUAGUGGAAGAAGAGAGGGCAAGAGAGAGG